GGGCCCGCACAAGCGGUGGAGCAUGUGGUUUAAUUCGAUGAUACGCGAGGAACCUUACCAGGGCUUAAAUGUAGAGCGACAGAGGUGGAAACACCUCCUUCUUCGGACGGUCUACAAGGUGCUGCAUGGUUGUCGUCAGCUCGUGCUGUGAAGUGUCGGGUUAAGUCCCAUAACGAGCGCAACCCCUAUUUCUAGUUGCCAGCGGUUCGGCCGGGGACUCUAGAGAAACUGCCAGCGUAAGCUGUGAGGAAGGUGGGGAUGACGUCAAAUCAUCACGGCCCUUACGUCCUGGGCCACACACGUGCUACAAUGGUGGAGACAGAGAGUUGCCAACCCGCGAGGGUGAGCUAAUCUUCAAAGCCGAUCACAGUUCGGAUCGGAGUCUGCAACUCGACUCCGUG
rnacentral:rRNA from 1 species